rnacentral:rRNA from 1 species
AAGAGACAGCAGCCGCCGCGGUAAUACAGAGGGUGCGAGCGUUAAUCGGAUUUACUGGGCGUAAAGCGUGCGUAGGCGGCUUCUUAAGUCGGAUGUGAAAUCCCUGAGCUUAACUUAGGAAUUGCAUUCGAUACUGGGAAGCUAGAGUAUGGGAGAGGAUGGUAGAAUUCCAGGUGUAGCGGUGAAAUGCGUAGAGAUCUGGAGGAAUACCGAUGGCGAAGGCAGCCAUCUGGCCUAAUACUGACGCUGAGGUACGAAAGCAUGGGGAGCAAACAGGAUUAGAGACCCCUGUAGUCCCUGUCUCUUAUAC